UGAAUACGAGACGCUACGGCGUCGAAGCAGUCUAUGUCAUACUUCCAAGAAAAGCUUGCACUGUCAUAAACAAAUAAUGCCUGUACCAUAACCGACACAGGUGGGUAGGUAGAGUAUACUAAGGGGCGCGAGAUAACUCUCUCUAAGGAACUCGGCAAAAUGACUCCGUAACUUCGGGAGAAGGAGUGCCUUAUUUAUAAGGUUGCAAUAACAAGAUCCAAGCAACUGUUUAUCAAAAACACAGGUCUCCGCUAAGUCGUAAGACGAUGUAUGGGGGCUGACGCCUGCCCAGUGCCAGAAGGUUAAAGAAGUUGGUUAGCAUUAGCGAAGCUGAUAACUGAAGCCCUGGUGAACGGCGGCCGUAACUAUAACGGUCCUAAGGUAGCGAAAUUCCUUGUCGGGUAAGUUCCGACCCGCACGAAAGGCGUAAUGAUUUGGAUACUGUCUCGGAGAGGGGCUCGGUGAAAUAGACUUGUCUGUGAAGAUGCGGACUACCUGCACCUGGACAGAAAGACCCUAUGAAGCUUUACUGUAACCUGAAAUUGAAAUUGGACUUUAUUUGCGCAGUAUAGGUGGGAGGCGUUGAGAAUAUUCUUGCGGGAAUAUUGGAGCCAUCAGUGAGAUACCACUCUUGUAAUGUUAGAUUUCUAACUUUGAAUCAUUAUCUGGUCAAAGAACAGUUUCAGGCGGGCAGUUUGACUGGGGCGGUCGCCUCCUAAAUGGUAACGGAGGCGCACAAAGGUUUCCUCUGAACGGGUAGAAAUCGUAUCUAGAGUGUAAAGGCAUAAGGAAGCUUGACUGUGAGACCUACAAGUCGAGCAGGGACGAAAGUCGGUCUUAGUGAUCUGACGGUGCUGAGUGGAAAGGCCGUCACCCAACGGAUAAAAGUUACUCUAGGAUAACAGGCUGAUCUCCCCCAAGAGUUCACAUCGACGGGGAGGUUUGGCACCUCGAUGUCGGCUCAUCGCAUCCUGGGGCGGUAGUACGUCCCAAGGGUUGGGCUGUUCGCCCAUGAAAGCGGUACGCGAGCUGGGUUCAGAACGUCGUGAGACAGUUCGGUCCAUAUCCGGUGUAGGCGUUAGAAUAUUGAGAGGAGCCUUCUUUAGUACGAGAGGACCGAGAAGGACAUACCUCUGGUGUACCAGUUAUCGUGCCAACGGUAAACGCUGGGUAGCUAUGUAUGGAGAGGAUAACCGCUGAAAGCAUCUAAGUGGGAAGCCCACCUCAAGAUAAG
rnacentral:rRNA from 1 species